CCUACGGGAGGCAGCAGUGGGGAAUAUUGCACAAUGGGCGAAAGCCUGAUGCAGCGACGCCGCGUGAGGGAUGACGGCCUUCGGGUUGUAAACCUCUUUCAGUAGGGAAGAAGCGAAAGUGACGGUACCUGCAGAAGAAGCGCCGGCUAACUACGUGCCAGCAGCCGCGGUAAUACGUAGGGCGCAAGCGUUAUCCGGAAUUAUUGGGCGUAAAGAGCUCGUAGGCGGUUUGUCGCGUCUGCCGUGAAAGUCCGGGGCUCAACUCCGGAUCUGCGGUGGGUACGGGCAGACUAGAGUGAUGUAGGGGAGACUGGAAUUCCUGGUGUAGCGGUGAAAUGCGCAGAUAUCAGGAGGAACACCGAUGGCGAAGGCAGGUCUCUGGGCAUUAACUGACGCUGAGGAGCGAAAGCAUGGGGAGCGAACAGGAUUAGAUACCCUGGUAGUCCAUGCCGUAAACGUUGGGCACUAGGUGUGGGGGACAUUCCACGUUUUCCGCGCCGUAGCUAACGCAUUAAGUGCCCCGCCUGGGGAGACGCGCGAGACGAACACAAGAAGUAGACGCGUGAGACGUCGCCGACGACGACGACGAGGGAGGAGG
rnacentral:rRNA from 1 species